rnacentral:rRNA from 1 species
GACGAACGCUGGCGGCGUGCCUAAUACAUGCAAGUCGAGCGAGCUUGCCUAGAUGAAUUUGGUGCUUGCACCAAAUGAAACUAGAUACAAGCGAGCGGCGGACGGGUGAGUAACACGUGGGUAACCUGCCCAAGAGACUGGGAUAACACCUGGAAACAGAUGCUAAUACCGGAUAACAACACUAGACGCAUGUCUAGAGUUUAAAAGAUGGUUCUGCUAUCACUCUUGGAUGGACCUGCGGUGCAUUAGCUAGUUGGUAAGGUAACGGCUUACCAAGGCAAUGAUGCAUAGCCGAGUUGAGAGACUGAUCGGCCACAUUGGGACUGAGACACGGCCCAAACUCCUACGGGAGGCAGCAGUAGGGAAUCUUCCACAAUGGACGCAAGUCUGAUGGAGCAACGCCGCGUGAGUGAAGAAGGGUUUCGGCUCGUAAAGCUCUGUUGGUAGUGAAGAAAGAUAGAGGUAGUAACUGCCUUUAUU